CAAACUGUCUAGAGAGAAGCAGCCAUCUGAAGGCGCCAAAGACACAUGCGGGCUGCAUUUUGCAAAAUGUCCUGGAGGCGAAAGCUGCUACUUGACCUUCCUCAGAACCUUGAAACUCUACAAUGAACUCAGUGCAAAACCUCACUCACUCCGUUCUUCUAACUGCUCUCUGGGCAAUAAAUUAAGAUGGCCUGAGGUGUCUUCCUGCUGGCUGGGGCUGGAGAGGACGGCUCGGUGGUUGUUGGGGAGAGUAAAAGGCGCAUGUGUGGGUUGGAGUCGCUGCAAGUUCCUACUGGAAGUGAGUGAAUCUUUCUGGAAGUUCUCUGUUGGAUUCCCAGGGGCUGGGCCUCUAACUUUGAUCUCUAAGACCAGAGCUUUGCAGAAAAGAACAACAAAAAAAAUUGACAUGAUUGGGUCUGGAGCGGCAGGAAUUUAUGACUGGAGUGGAUAAUGAAGAGGCUGAAAACAUAGAAACAGGCCUUACAAUCCUUGACACCCUCUGAUCCCCAGCACCCCUCCUGGGGCUCUUCUAAACCUUGUGCAACUGCUGGGAAGCAGGGACCGGAGGCUGGGCUGUGACUGCUGCGUCCUUUUAAACCAAAGACUUGGAACACUCAAGACUGCCUGUGAGGUUUUGUUUACAUUCCAGUAGACCUGUUCAGGUGGGCCUGAGUGUCUAUUCAUCGAGGUAGAGGUCGUGACUCGGCUGUGGACACACAGGCGCUGGCGAGCUGGGGCCGGCUCUCCAGGUACACAGAGUUCCUGCUAGAGCCCACGGAAGGAGCUCAAGGCAUGUUCCAGCUGGUGGACGGUCGGCUGCCCUCUGCGUGGAACUGACAGUGGACCAGGCGGCGCCGAGGAGGUGGGGGGUCGACAGCGACCCCAUUCUGGUCUCCCACCGCCCGUAAGGUGUGCUCUUCCCCUGUCGCUGGGGGAAGCCUGGGACAGUCUCCUGCUGUUUGUCUCUCUGGUCUUUGGUAAUAA